AAAUUGCAGUUGAUACUGGGUGUCUUGAGUACAGUAGAGGCAGGCGGAAUUCGUGGUGUAGCGGUGAAAUGCUUAGAUAUCACGAAGAACUACGAUUGCGAAGGCAGCUUGCUGGACUGUAACUGACGCUGAUGCUUGAAAGUGUGGGUAUCAAACAGGAUUAGAUACCCUGGUAGUCCACACAGUAAACGAUGAAUACUCGCUGUUUGCGAUAUACAGUAAGCGGCCAAGCGAAAGCGUUAAGUAUUCCACCUGGGGAGUACGCCGGCAACGGUGAAACUCAAAGGAAUUGACGGGGGCCCGCACAAGCGGAGGAACAUGUGGUUUAAUUCGAUGAUACGCGAGGAACCUUACCCGGGCUUGAAUUGCAACUGAAUGAUGUGGAGACAUGUCAGCCGCAAGGCAGUUGUGAAGGUGCUGCAUGGUUGUCGUCAGCUCGUGCCGUGAGGUGUCGGCUUAAGUGCCAUAACGAGCGCAACCCUUAUCGAUAGUUACCAUCAGGUUAUGCUGGGGACUCUGUCGAGACUGCCGUCGUAAGAUGUGAGGAAGGUGGGGAUGACGUCAAAUCAGCACGGCCCUUACGUCCGGGGCUACACACGUGUUACAAUGGGGGGUACAGAAGGCAGAUACACGGCGACGUGAUGCUAAUCCCGAAAGCCUCUUUCAGUUCGGAUUGGAGUCUGCAACCCGACUCCAUGAAGCUGGAUUCGCUAGUAAUCGCGCAUCAGCCACGGCGCGGUGAAUACGUUCCCGGGCCUUGUACACACCGCCCGUCAAGCCAUGAAAGCCGGGGGUACCUGAAGUGCGUAACCGCAAGGAGCGCCCUAGGGUAAAACUG
rnacentral:rRNA from 1 species